rnacentral:lncRNA from 1 species
GUGGAUACCAAGUAUUCAUAGAGGUCUCCCCCUUGUCAGGGGCCCUCAGACCUCAAAGGUGAUGCCAGGACACAGAGAGUGCCAGAUGCGUAGCAGAGACCAAAGCCAAGGGAACUUCCCAUGAGCAAGAGAACCCAGCCACAGGAGAUAUCCCAGAUGGGCCCUAGGGACCCAUGCUCUCAGAGGGCAUCCUUUAUGGUCCCCACAGCCCUGGACCCCUAGAAUGGGCUUUUCACCCACCACAGUGCCCUCCAGCCAAUGCCAAGCAGUCACCUCCAGGUCCAGUGGGACACAAUGACUGUCAUUUCUGAUACACAUCUGACUGUGGGGAGAAGCCAACAGGCGGCCCCGAGAGGGGGAUGUUCCACUAGCAGGAGAUGGGAUGUUCAUGUGGUGCACCUGGGGCGACAGGUGUGUGUGUGUGAGAGAGAGAGAGACCCACUGGGCAGGAGGGGGAUGAGUGUGUCACACAUAAACAGAGCAGUGUGCGUGUGACACCCCUAGGGGAUGGAGAACAGUCACCUAUGGAGGGGCAAGAACAGCAUGAGCUGCAAGGAGCAAGCACCCCUGUGUGUGGGCACGGGAGCUGGUGGGAGAAGACCACCCAGACCUCUGUGCCCGGGGUCCCUGGCCAGAAGGAAGAACAAGGGCUUCUCUAGGUCUCCCUGGGUGGGGCAGUGGCAACGGGUCAGGAUUGCUAAAUGUGGAGGUUGUGCCUGCAAGCCCGCAUUGGGUGUGCCUCCAAAUGACAGCAGGAGUUGAGAGACAAGGACUGCAGCCCAGGGCGCCUCUGCAGGAGAGGGGCGUAGCAAGUGGGCUUCCCAGCCCCAGCUGGCAGGCUGCCCACCGCCACAGCUCACUGCUCCACCCCACGACUCCACAGGCCCCAGAAUGCACAGGGGAGCUGGGGUCAGACUGGCUCAGAUGGGGGAGGUGUCCCAGGUCUGAGGACGUGGGCCCUGCUCUGGCCCCCACCUCCCUCCCUCCACUGGGGAGGGAACAGGAGGUGCUCAGGUGGUGCUGGGGUGGGGUGGGGAGCCCUGGAGAGGCCAGGUGGGACGGACCAUCCUGCCCGCGCAGGAGACCCCUUUCCCACACGUGUGCUGUGUCUUUGUUGCUCUGCUUCCUUUACAUGUGUCAGUGCCUGGGGGGAGGGGAGGGGCGGGGCACCCCCUCGAGCCCCCCUGAACCUGACCAAAAGCCAUGGCUGUCGCUCCCCCCUUUGUAUGACGCAAAUGCUAAGAUGUACAAAACCAACCAUGACAACAAAGAAAAAAAGACCUGUACAGCAGCUGUCGGUCCUCUUCUGUCUGUCGGCACCAACUCACCAGUGAAGGCGGGGGGGGAGGGGGGGGGAAUCCACAAAGCAAAGCCCAAGAAGGCCCCAGGGAAAUCUUCAGCUCCAUCCUGGCUUCUGGGCAGGACAAUGCAGAAACAACUCCCUGAAGUCAACCAAAGGCAGAAGCAGGGCUGGGCCCAGAAUUCAAGUUCGCUCUAG